rnacentral:tRNA from 1 species
UGGGAUAUAGCUCAGUGGUGGAGCAUUUACCUGGAGUGCACAAGACCCUGGGUUUGAUCCCCAGUACUGCAA